rnacentral:rRNA from 1 species
UACGUAGGCAGCGAGCGUUGUUCGGAGUUACUGGGCGUAAAGGGUGUGUAGGCGGUUGCUUAAGUUUGGUGUGAAAUCUCCCGGCUCAACUGGGAGGGUGCGCCGAAUACUGAGUGACUAGAGUGCGGGAGAGGAAAGUGGAAUUCCUGGUGUAGCGGUGAAAUGCGUAGAUAUCAGGAGGAACACCGGUGGUGUAGACGGCUUUCUGGACCGUAACUGACGCUGAGACACGAAAGCGUGGGUAGCAAACAGG